rnacentral:rRNA from 1 species
GAUGAACGCUGGCGGCGUGCUCAACACAUGCAAGUCGAACGGGAAUUCUUUUUUUGAAUCUUAGGUCGCUUUAAUUUAAUUCUAGUGGCGGCCGGGCGAGUAACGCGUGGGUAACCUGCCUUAUACAGGGGGAUAACAGUCAGAACUGGCUGCUAAUACCGCAUAAGCGCACAGAGCUGCAUGGCCCAGUGUGAAAAACUCCGGUGGUAUAAGAUGGACCCGCGUUGGAUUAGCUGGUUGGUGGGGUAACGGCCCACCAAGGCGACGAUCCAUAGCCGGACUGAGAGGGUGAACGGCCACAUUGGGACUGAGACACGGCCCAGACUCCUACGGGAGGCAGCAGUGGGGAAUGUUGCACAAUGGGGGAAACCCUGAUGCAGCGACGCCGCGUGAAGGAAGAAGUAUCUCGGUAUGUAAACUUCUAUCAGCAGGGAAGAUAGUGACGGUACCUGACGAAGAAGCCCCGGCUAACUACGUG